GUGCUGAAGACUGUGGGCUGGUGACUUGUACAACUCAUACUUACCUGGCAGGGGAGAUACCAUGAUCAAGAAGGUGGUUCACCCAGGGUGAGGCUCAGCCAUUGCACUCCGGCUGUGCUGACCCCUGCGAAUUCCCCAAAUGUGGGAAUCUCGACUGCAUAAUUUCUGGUAGUGGGGGACUGCGUUCGCGCUCUCCCCUGA